rnacentral:misc_RNA from 1 species
UGUUGUGGUUCGUAAUGGCUGACUGGUUUGUUGGCUGGCGCCUUUGCUAGGGUUGGUCAAGUGUGAACAGUUUCGAGGAAUUUCAGGUUACGCGGUCAAAAGUUCCAUGGUGGCAUGUCUCAGCAGCACUCUUACAAGUAUGGACGGUAGUUACACAUGCAGAAUUCAUUGACAUGGCUGCUGUUGAAAAUGAACUGGACAAAAUCGACCCACGAAUUCAGGGUGAGCUAGAACGACUCAAUUCAGCCACAACCGAGAUCAAUAGACUUGAGAAGGAAGUGGAUGCAGCGAAUUCUGUCUUCAGAACCACCUUGUCCGAGUCCAGCCAGCAGUUGAAACAGCUAGCGAAGAAACUGGGCAAGAGUGUGGAGAAAGCUCGACCCUACUACGAAGCCAGAGAUGUCGCCUUCAAGGCUCACCGGGAGGCGCAGAAGGCGGCGAUACAGUUCCAGCGAGCGAACAGCGAACACCAGGCGGCGAAAGAAACGAUCUACCUCGCAGAACAACGUCUGCUGAACAUGAACGACAAGCGAGUGUUCGACUCCGCAUGGCAGGAGAUGAUCAACCACGCUACGAUGAAGCUAAACGAGGCGGAGUCGGCAAAGCUGAAGAACGAAAGCGAUCAUCAGGAGAAAUCCGCACAGUUCGUGACGGCCGAGCAGCGCCUCUACAAGCUAGAGAAGGAGCUACGCAGUGCCAUCAACAAAUCCAGGAAUUACUUCGAGCGGAAAGACAAGUUUCAAGCAUUUCUGCAAGAUAAGAAGCGAAGCAUAGAGGGGCUACAGCGAACAGUGCAGACGACGAAGAGACAAUAUGCAGACGCGCUUAAUAACCUUGAACAGAUCUCGGAAGAGAUACACAGUCAGCGUCUGCAGGACAAACAGAGGGAGCCAGGGGUAGGAGCAGAGGAAGCCAAAGACAGGACGUCUCCUGUUCCCGAUCUCGAUAACCUGCGAGCAAAAGCUAGUCUCAUGGAAGGGUCGACAGCAUCGCUACCGGAUGCAGAGUUAGACGACAUAACUGUGUCGAGUCUGCGCACGGACGCCAGUGACCGCGGCGCCCUCUCCGACUGCGAUCUAUCGGACGACGAAGCCGACCUCCGUCCGACUUCCGAGCGAGAAGGUGGCGCCACCGUCCCGCGAUCGUCGUGCGCGCGGGUGGACGCGACAACUUGCUGUGAUAGCGGUGUCGGCACGGACGCAGAGGGGGCGCCGCCGCCCGCCGAGACAAACACGCUACCGCGAUGUCGCUCAGCGACGGCGAUGAGCGGCGCGACGGCGGCGGCGGCGGUCGCUCGGACGAACACCGGCGAGACACGGGCGCGCCGGGUCACCGUCGGCGCCGCGGCGGCGCCACCUGUUUCGCGUGGCGCGAGGGAACAGAUGCUGGCGAGCCUGCCGCUAUUGGCCGGACUCAGCGAGCAGCUGAGCCGUGAUUGGCCAAUGGUGAGGAGGUGGAGCGGGGAUGAUGACAGCGGCGAGGCGAGGGGAUUCGGCGUGAGGAGACAGCCGAGCGGCGCGUCGCUGAAGACGCAGAACCGUCGCCAUGCCAACAAGCAACAACAGCAGCAGCAACAAUAGCAACAAUAAAACGUAGCCAGGGAUGCAGCGAACACGAAUCAGGGUCAGAGAAGUGUAGUACCAGCAGCAGCUAGCUGUACAGAGUGUUGCUGGUACUACUGCUGCCGCUGCUGCUAGGUCAUUCCCUACCGCCAACCAACCAGUACCCGUGCAAUCACGAAGCCACAACAGCGAAAUCCGACGCCGAUGAUUAUGUGCAAUCGUUAAAUAGCAAAGUUGAACAUCUCAAUAUUGUGGAAAUUGGCAUGCGAUUACAAGUGCAUUUACAAGAGAAUAGCCAAGUAAGGUUAAUUGGUAAUGCCCAGAAUCAUUUCACGAUUACUCAAGGUGUGAUAAAGACGGUGGUAUCAUCUGCCUUGACAAGUCAAACUAAAUUUAUUACGGCCCCAAUCAGUCGAUAGUUUUGGGUGAGCAGUGUUUGCCUUUGCUGACAAUGGAGUUCUGCUAGUGUUGGCUGUCAAAUACCGCGUUAAGAACGGCUAAAUGCGACUCCAACUGAUAAAUAGCAUUACUUCUUUAAAAUCAAAUUUGGCAGCAGGUAGACACGUGAUUUGAUUCGACCAAUAGGGGCUCACUGUCCGCCAUUAAUCAUUAAGCGCUGUCCUGCGCGCGCGCGCGCGUCUAUUCAUCCGAAAAUAGAAGUAGAGAAUAAAUCGUUCUGUUCCAUUUCCUCCUCGUCUUUCCAGUGCGUAUCGUUGUGAGAGUCAUGUUACCUGUUAUAUAUAUCGAUCACAGCGUGGUGCUUUGUUUCAGUAGGGACCUUAGUGAAGAUGCGUUUUAGUGCUCAUCGAAAGUUUUCUCAUUUUGUAACGGAACGCGACUCAAUGCGUUGCCUUGAGUAAGAAAUGCAGCGUCACUCACAUGUAUCUACUACACUCUGUCGUCCGUAGUCAGAAACAAAAUUAGUCUAAAAAAUUUAGUCUUUACAUGAACUUUUUCUUGUAUUGGAUCUCUGUAUAGAGACAAUCGUAGCUUUACCGUGUUUAUGUGACGAUCUGCGAGAAAGUUAAAUGUUAAUACUAAUGUUACAAUCAUUUUGUUUGACAACGGGUGCCCCUAGUAGUUGAUACAUUCGUGAUGACAUGUGUUGACAGAUGGACAUUCGUGAUGACAUGUGUUGACAGAUGGACAUUCGUGAUGACAUAUUGUGCUAAUGAGUGUUGACACACGCAUCUUGUCGUCCACCCUGCUUCUAUAUCACCCGCCCGCUGAGUGGUCUAGUGGGCCUUCGUGCUUCUAAUUCGUUCGAUGUGACAUAUCGUUAAGGUGCAGGAUUGUAUAGUAUUAGCUUUACGUUGUUUAAGUUAUGGUAUUGAGAGGAAGUGGUGAGUGAGUGGAUGAGUGGCGUGCGGUUGGUGGUGAGUGGUGACGAGUUGUGGGUGAGCGAAUGUGCGUGAAUAAGGAAGAGAGAAGAACAAAAUAGAAAUAAAGAGAGAGAAAGAACAA